CUCACGUGAUGUGCUCGGAUACCGUUGCAGUGUUGAAUCAAUAAUCUCAUUUGAAAAACUUGCUGAAGGCAGGGAAUCGCCUCAUAUUGGAUGUGCUAUCAGAGUAAAAUCUGCCACCCUGGAUGCAAUUUGAUCUCCAUCCUGCAAGGGUUGUGCCUUCCCAGCUCUCCAUAACAAUUCCUGAGCAACUCAUCCCCUAACACUAAGCAACAUGGACAAUCUUUCCCAUUCCCAGUGGGCAAAUGACCUCAUUCUACCACCCCGAUUCUCACUGGCACUGGCCUCCAAUGGUCUCCUUCUACCUUCCUCCCGAUGUCUUUUGGCUCUGCUGGUUUCCAUUCUGAGAGAUGGAUCAAGAUCUAGCAAUUAGAAGAGCAGAAAUGUAUGACUGUCUUGGUAUGAUGGAGGUAGUUCCAGGAUGACAAAAGAAAAAUCAGGAGAAAAACUGAUGUUCGGGUCAAGACAAAAAACCUACAAUGCUUUGGAAUUGUUGGUGAAUUGAAGAAGUCAGAACAUUUGUGUUUCAUUUAAUUUUAAGUCAUUUUGAACAAGAGCAUGGGGAAUGUCGGCACAUGCUUACAAAACAUUCGGCCUACUACUCAACGUUAGCUCUUCUGCAGGGAGGGCAUGUCUUUUAAUCUUGUUGCAGCUGUUCCACUUUUGAUAAAACAUUUAAAUGGUCACUACUUAAAAAGAGCCUAACUCUAGGACAUCCACCUAGGAGAUCUGGGUGCAACCCCCUGCUCCAAAAUGGAUCUGAACCUGGGUCUCCCUGAGCCAAGGUGAGUUCCCUAAGUACUGGCUAUAGAGUGUAAGACCACUUCUCUGUUUUGUGAAUGUAUCCUGAAAAAUUGUCCUGCCAUGUCAUCCAUUUAUUCAUGUGACCCUCAUCACUGCAUUAUCCAAAUGCCUUGCUAUCACUAAUGGAUUUCAUACAUUCAACAUCCUUUGGAGGUUGGGUAGUAUUACCUCCUUUGCACCAAUAAAGAACUG